rnacentral:rRNA from 1 species
AUGCAAGAGCUCCAAGAGCAACAUCUGGUGGAAGAGUUGCAGCUGAACAGCCUGCUCCAACAGCUGCUGCAAGUCCUAGGGCUGCAUCAUAUGCUCCAAGGCCUACUUCUGCUGCUGCUGCAAGAGCCUCUUCAUCAGCAACAACAGCCAAUGCAGCAACUGCUCCCAGGCCUACUUCUGCUGCUGCUGCUGCAAGAGCCUCUUCAUCAACAACAACAACCACUGCAUCAACUGCUCCCAGGCCUACUUCUACUGCUGCAAGAGCUUCUUCAUCAAGAGCUAGGUCUUCAUUUGCUCCUCCAAGGACUGCCACUACUGCUCAAUCUGCUUAUGGAAGGGUGA